rnacentral:lncRNA from 1 species
GUGCACUACGUACACGACAAUAUCAGCUAUACGGUUGACUUCGGAAACGAGAUUCCUGAAGCGGCCAUGAAUGAAAACCGUAUGUUGGAUGGCCAAGUCCAAGUCCAUUCGGCAUGUACACUCUAGUGUGCGUAGGUCCUGAUGUGCCAACAUUGCUCAAAGCACCAAAAUAUCGAAGUUUCUUGCAUUGGCACGUGGGAAACAUUCAAAACGAUAAUACGGUUGGGGGUGAAACCAGAGUGGAAUAUGUUGGUAUUGUCAAACCUAAUUAUGGACCUGGAAAACAUCGCAUAGUUUUCAUAUUGUACAGACAAAACCAAGAUGCGGAGUUGUAUUACGUAACGAACGUCAUGACAGCAGAUGGUGACAUGGAUGAACGAGAAUUUUUUGAACCGAGAGUGAUGGCAAAAGAGAAUCAAAUGGGUAAACCGAUUGGAGUCAAUUAUUUCUGGGUCACAACUGCCGACUAA